UGUCUGAUUAUCUCCCUNUAGUAUUGGGCAGA
rnacentral:piRNA from 1 species